UACGAAGGGGGCUAGCGUUGUUCGGAAUUACUGGGCGUAAAGCGCGCGCAGGCGGCUAUCCAAGUCAGUGGUGAAAGCCCGGAGCUCAACUCCGGAACUGCCAUUGAAACUAUUUAGCUUGAGGAUGAGAGAGGUGAGUGGAAUUCCCAGUGUAGAGGUGAAAUGCGUAGAUAUCGGGAGGAACACCUGUGGCGAAAGCGGCGCACUGGACCACAACUGACGCUGAGGCGCGAAAGCGUGGGGAGCGAACAGG
rnacentral:rRNA from 1 species